rnacentral:rRNA from 1 species
UACGUAGGGCGCAAGCGUUGUCCGGAAUUAUUGGGCGUAAAGAGCUCGUAGGCGGCCUGUCGCGUCUGCUGUGAAAUCCCGGGGCUCAACCCCGGGCCUGCAGUGGAUACGGGCUGGCUGGAGGCAGGCAGGGGAGAACGGAAUUCCUGGUGUAGCGGUGAAAUGCGCAGGUAUCAGGAGGAACACCGGUGGCGAAGGCGGUUCUCUGGGCCUGUUCUGACGCUGAGGAGCGAAAGCGUGGGGAGCAAACAGG